UACGGAGGGUGCGAGCGUUGUCCGGAAUCAUUGGGCGUAAAGGGUGCGCAGGCGCCAAGUGUGUCAGGUGUGAAAUCCCGAGCUUAACCUCGGAACUGCGCCUGAAACUACUUGGCUAGAGUACUGGAGAGGGUAACGGAAUUCACGGUGUAGCAGUGAAAUGCGUAGAUAUCGUGAGGAACACCAGAGGCGAAGGCGGUUACCUGGACAGUUACUGACGCUCAGGCACGAAAGCGUGGGGAGCAAAAGGG
rnacentral:rRNA from 1 species